rnacentral:lncRNA from 1 species
GAAGAGAAACCAAGGAAGAACAAACUCUAGGUGGGAAAAAUCAAAGAGAAAGUGUUGGAAUUCAAGGAUUUGAUCAAGCAAAGGUAAAAUUUCUUUGAUUUUGCUAGUGAUUUACCUUAACCNNNNNNNNNNNNNNNNNNNNNNNNNNNNNNNNNNNNNNNNNNNNNNNNNNNNNNNNNNNNNNNNNNNNNNNNNNNNNNNNNNNNNNNNNNNNNNNNNNNNNNNNNNNNNNNNNNNNNNNNNNNNNNNNNNNNNNNNNNNNNNNNNNNNNNNNNNNNNNNNNNNNNNNNNNNNNNNNNNNNNNNNNNNNNNNNNNNNNNNNNNNNNNNNNNNNNNNNNNNNNNNNNNNNNNNNNNNNNNNNNNNNNNNNNNNNNNNNNNNNNNNNNNNNNNNNNNNNNNNNNNNNNNNNNNNNNNNNNNNNNNNNNNNNNNNNNNNNNNNNNNNNNNNNNNNNNNNNNNNNNNNNNNNNNNNNNNNNNNNNNNNNNNNNNNNNNNNNNNNNNNNNNNNNNNNNNNNNNNNNNNNNNNNNNNNNNNNNNNNNNNNNNNNNNNNNNNNNNNNNNNNNNNNNNNNNNNNNNNNNNNNNNNNNNNNNNNNNNNNNNNNNNNNNNNNNNNNNNNNNNNNNNNNNNNNNNNNNNNNNNNNNNNNNNNNNNNNNNNNNNNNNNNNNNNNNNNNNNNNNNNNNNNNNNNNNNNNNNNNNNNNNNNNNNNNNNNNNNNNNNNNNNNNNNNNNGAUUUUAUAAAUAAUUUUAUAAAAUUUUUACAAAUUUAAUAAUGAUUUCAAAUAUAGAGUAAUUGGAGACCUAUACUAUGAUUGUAUUGUUUAUCCAUGAUUUUACAUUAAAUGGCUUAUGAUAAAUGUGGGUAUGAUUGGUUAUUUUUAUGAUUUCAAGAAUAUGUGAACUACUUUGAUUUGCCUUGAAUGUGUUAAGUGAGCCAUGUCAUACUAUUGUGAUUUUAUUGGUUAAUGGAUUAUAAAGUGGGCAUUGCAGUGACGGGGGUUCCAUGGGCCAACCUAAUUAGAGGGGCACGGUUCCCGAUUAUUGAGCUUACCUUGAUUGGAGAGGCGCGUAGGAUAACUCUCGAGGUAGGAUUUGAGUACACUUCACGCUGGCCACCACGUGAAACUGGGACUCAGCCAAUGCCGAGGAGCGGUUGUGUUGUCAGAGGUGAAAUGUGUUUGUAUGUGUGACAAUAAACAGCCUUGGCGGUCUUGGUAAGAUGCCUUCGCGAGGUAUCCCCGAGAAUGAAUUUUUAGCAAGGGCCAAGUUUUUGAAAAGUGCAUAAGCCAUGUUGAGUAAUUGGAUGAAAUUCAAUUAUUUAUAUGGGUUGUGAUGAAUUAUUUUAAUUGUCUCCUAUUACUCGGCUUUAGAUUAUUUUGAUGAUGUCUGUCUACUCACUGGGAUUUUAUAAUCUCACUCCUUCUUCCUAUCCAUUUUUCAAGCUCAGGACAAUUUAUUGAUAGUUGAUUAAGACGAGAAUUAAUCUCGGAGUUGCAUAUUAGAAAGUAAGGGUUUGUAACCCUACAUUUUCUUAGUCAGUUAGGGGCCCACGUGUCACUGUAAAAGUAAUUUUAUUCUUCAGUUAUUUAAUUUAAAAUAUGUAUGAAUAUAUUUAGCUUUUACACCAUGUUUUUGGCGAGUUUCGGUAUUUUCAAAGAAAAAAGAUGAAAAUGCCCCUAUGAGCCAGAAAGUAAUAUUUUAUUGUUUUGAUUUGGAAAUGACUUAUGAUUUUUUUUAAAAUGUGAGAUUUAAUAACUGUCGCUCACUGGGGAGAUGCAGAAGUUGAUGCUAAGCCUUGCGGAGUUUCGAUCCGCAUUCGGGGUAAUGAGUGCCUAUCGGGAUGUCGCGGCGGUUGUCACGGGCUCGAUGGGAGUUUCGGGUCAUGACAGUUCUUGUAGUAAUGCAUAGAAAAUAGUAGAUUUUAUUUAAAUUAUUUUAAAUUAGUUAAUUUAGGUGAGUCAAUCUAAUCUUAGUUAAUUUUAUACUUAAUUUUGUGUUAAUGUGGUUAAGAUAGGUUGUUAUUGAUUUAUUUGUGCUUUUGUAAGUGUUUGAUAGAAGAAGAAUUUUAGUAGAAAAAUGAUAGCAAUUUCAAGGUGCAGAUUUUCACUGCAUAUAUUUUGGUAUUUCAGCCAUAACUCUUUCCACAAAACUCCAAAUAAAGUGAUUCUUUGACUAUUGGAAAUAUAAGAGAAAAAGCUACAAGUUUUAUGUUUACCACUUUUCCCAGUUCAUCCUGGAAGGUGGUCAAAACUCUUGUCAAAUUUGAUACAUUAUAGUAGUCCUAGAGCAAUUACGAUUUCUAUUAAUUAAUUGGGCAAGGUUGUGGCUCAUAUAGUUUGAUGAGGAAAUUUCAGCUGAAAUUGAUUUCUUUCUUCACCAAACUUGGUCUAAAUUCAAAGUCUAUAAAAACAACCUUUUGGAAGACUUUUAGAAAAAAAAAAGAAAAAAGAACGAAAUACCAGAUUGACAGUUGAGAGUCAAGCCACGGAGUCAUUAAAGUUAAGAAGAAUUUGAAGGGUUCAAGAAUAUUAAGAAUACAAUUCUUGGUUUUUUCUAUCUUUUUGUUAUUCUCUUAUUUUCUUGGUUUUGUUUUUGAUGUUUAAACUUUAUUCAAUGAUGAUGUGUGACUUUAUAGGGAACUAAACUUUUAAUCUAAGAUUAUGAUUGAACUCAAUAUAUAGUCUAAUUUAUUUAUCUUUUUUUGGCUUAUGUUUGAUGGAUUUAAGCUGUUUAUUUUAAUUUGUUCUUAAUGCUUCUAAUUGCCUAAUCACUAAUUAGAUUGAAUUGGAAACCUAGGUUAAACCUUGACGAAGGAGAUUUGGGUAGAGCUUGAGUAGAAUAGUGUAUGAUCGAAUGUACUUAGUUGAUUAAGUAGUUUGAUUUGCAUAUAGGGUAAACAUACACUUAUAAGCCAUACGUAGCCAAAAUUAGAGCACAAACUUAAUGAAUUUUUUUUCAAUAUAAUUUGCAUAGACAUAUAGCAAAUUAAUUGAGAGAGGUAUUUUUAUGAGAAACUCGAUAUAGACUUGUAAAUAAUUUAGGACUAUGGUUAGCAACUUAAUCCAUUAAAUUAAGUUAAGAGAGAGAGAGAGAGACAAUAUUCGAUGAAGUAUUAAGGAAUUUCAAAAUCUUAGGUCUAGUAGUCACUCAAAUUUAAUAAAGUAAAUUUGCUAACAGAUUUUAGAUUACUUUUAUUUUUAGUAUAUUAGUUUAUUAGUUUUAAUUAUAUUUUUAAUUAUUUGGAUAAGAUUACGGUGUGUCAAUUUUAGUAGUUAACAAUAGGAAUUAAAACAACUCUUUGUGGGAACAAUACUUUACUCAUAAUUAUAUUAUCUUUUCGAUAUGUAUACUUGAGUAGGUAGAAAAUUAAAUAACAAUGGUCACAUGUGUGCUUAUUAUCAACUGGUAAUUUGGCAUUUGCAAGAUUACUCACCCAAAUCCUUCAUUUGCUAGCACAUUUUCUUGAUUAUGCAAUCAAGACUAUUCGUAUUGACAAUGUUGGUGAAUUUAUAUCUCAAGCUUUAAUGAAUAUUGUAUAUUAGUUGGAAUAAUUGUUGAAUAACCUACUGCUCAUGUUCAUACACAAACGGUUUAGCAGAAUUAUUUAUUAAACACUUCCAAUUGAUUGUAAGGCCUUUGCUUGUGAAAAUAGAACUCUCCAUUUUUACUUGAGGGCAUGCCAUUUUGCAUGCGACAACACUUGCAUGCAUCAGACCAACGAGUUAUCAUAAAUUCUCCCCUAUAUAAUGGUUUAUGGUUAAGAACCAAAUAUUUCCCAUAUAAGAAUUUUUUGAUGUGUGGUAUAUGUCUUAAUUGCUCCACCAUAAUGCACAAAGGUGGGUCCUUAUUGUUCAAUUGUAAAGCCUGAUAUUCUAAAAUAUUUGUCAUGACAAACAUGUGAUGGAUAACAUGUUUGCAUGCUAGGAAAGUCCCGAAAAAUUUACAAAAGUAGGUAUUGUACCUAGAGGUACAACAAAGUUGAUUUAAGUCUCGAACUAGAUCAAAUAGAGAUUUUAGGGUGAAAUUGAAAAUUUUACAGUUCAGGAAUGAUUUAAAAUGGUGAUUUGGAGUUCGAGGAUCAAUUUGGAGUCAAAUCAAAAAUUUCACUAUCUAUGGGUAAAAUGGUAAUUUUACCACUCAAGGACAAAAUGGGAAUUUUUUUGAAAGAUUUUGAUCACAUUUGACUUAUUGGAGUAUGAUUUGAGGUUGAGAAGUGAAAAAUUGUAAUCCUCGUAUUUUUCGGAGCAUAAGGGUAAAAUGGUAAUUUUGCCACCAUAAGGGUAAAAUGGUAAUUUUGCCACCAUAGUGGCAAAAUUGUAAUUUUACACCACUAACACUUGUCAUGCUCAUAGAAUUCAUCCAUUGACUUUUUAUGUUAUGGAUAAGUGAGAAAAUAUAUGUGGUGGAGAUAAAAAGUUUAAAUUUUUAAAGUUUUAAAAAUGGACCAAUAAUAAAAUGACACUUAUCAAGCUUAGAAUAUUUUAUUAUUUNNNNNNNNNNNNNNNNNNNNNNNNNNNNNNNNNNNNNNNNNNNNNNNNNNNNNNNNNNNNNNNNNNNNNNNNNNNNNNNNNNNNNNNNNNNNNNNNNNNNNNNNNNNNNNNNNNNNNNNNNNNNNNNNNNNNNNNNNNNNNNNNNNNNNNNNNNNNNNNNNNNNNNNNNNNNNNNNNNNNNNNNNNNNNNNNNNNNNNNNNNNNNNNNNNNNNNNNNNNNNNNNNNNNNNNNNNNNNNNNNNNNNNNNNNNNNNNNNNNNNNNNNNNNNNNNNNNNNNNNNNNNNNNNNNNNNNNNNNNNNNNNNNNNNNNNNNNNNNNNNNNNNNNNNNNNNNNNNNNNNNNNNNNNNNNNNNNNNNNNNNNNNNNNNNNNNNNNNNNNNNNNNNNNNNNNNNNNNNNNNNNNNNNNNNNNNNNNNNNNNNNNNNNNNNNNNNNNNNNNNNNNNNNNNNNNNNNNNNNNNNNNNNNNNNNNNNNNNNNNNNNNNNNNNNNNNNNNNNNNNNNNNNNNNNNNNAUCACCCAUCAAUGGCCGAACCUACCUUGUAUUGAGUGAGGAUGAAUUUGAUUUUUUUUUUAUUUUAAGAGAAUUGGUUAGAAAAUGAUGAAUUAUGGUGUGGAAAAGUAGUAGGAAAAAUCACGGUGUUAAUGCACCAUUAUUGACCAAAAAUUCUAAGAAGAAAAAUGAAGAUGGUUUUGCCAAAUUUUAGGUUACUUGACUUAUGUUUGGUGAAUUAAGGUAUUGGAAAAGAAAUAGAGCAAUUUGGAGCUAAAUUGGACGCGUUGGCCAAUUAAUCGGGUGAUAAGACGAAUUAGGCCAAUACCGAGUUUAGAUGGUUACCCGUGCAUUUUGCAUUCCAUAUUAUGCAUUAGUAGUCUAAAUUAGUUUAAUUUCGAUUUAGUACCAAUGUAGUAUGUUUCUCGAUUUUGUACUAUGUCAAGGUGGUGAGUCCUCCGAUAAAGGCAAGGAAAUUGCAUCCGAGGAUCAGCAGUCAAAGUACUUCAAAAAUCCGCACUCUAGACAUUGUGAGUAAACUUACUGUCAUUUUAAUUAUCUAGGGUGGCUUUUAGAUGAUUUCAUGAAUUCUAUGGAAAAAUGGAUUUAAAAAGGUAAAUUUUCAUGUUUGAUGAAUAAAUGUGUUUCAAUGAAAUUAAUUUAUAAAUUAUUUUGAAAUUAAUAAUGAUUUUGAAAAAUAGAGUACAUGGAGACUGUUAUUUGUUGCAAUUUGAUUGUUUAAAUUGAUUGGCUUAUGAUAAAUCGGGCAUGAAUGGCUAGUUGACAAUUGUAUUGAAAUAUGGAUUGUUUGUUUGCCUUGAAAGGCUGUGAAUUACAAUAAUUGCCAUAUCAUGUUAUUGAAUUUUAUUGAUUGGUGGGAUAAUUAUUAACUUACUGUAGUAGGCGGGUUUCGUGGACCAGCCUAUGAGAGGGGCAUAGUAACCCCGUUUAUAUGUGCUCACCUCGAUUGUAGAGGUGUGUAGGGUAGCUCCUAAGGUGAUAUUUGGGUUCACUUCACGCCGAACACCACGUGAUGGUCAACUCAACCAACGCCAAGGAACGGUUGUGAUGUCUAAUGAAAAAUGUGUUUUAUGCGAAAUGUGAGUUUUUAAUAGCCUUGGCUGUCUCGGUAUGAUGCUUCGGCCAAGGUGUCACCGAGGAUGGAUUUAUGGCACAAGCUUAGUUUUUAUGAGAUUCAUAAGCCUCGUUACGUAUUUUGAAUGAAAUGUGUUCUAAUGCUGUGACCCAGUGUAUGAUGAUUUGUUUUAUCGUCUCCAUGUACUCAACUCUAGAUGUUUAUGAUGAUGUCUGUUUACUCACUGGGAUUUUAUAAUCUCACCACCCUCAUUUCCACCCAUUUCAGUCUUAGUAUAGACUGUAGAUAGCUAAUAUCAUCGAAGGCUACAAUUGGCUUUACUUCCUAAAAAAUUGUAGGUUUGCAGCCUUCGUUCAUUUUUAUCAUUUAGGGGUCCACAUGUCACUGUAAAUUAAAUUUCAUACUCUAGUUAUCUGUACUACUGUAUGUAAGAAUUUAUUUUGCUUUUACGCUGUAAAAAAAUUAUUUACGCAAUGUUCUAAAAAAUAUUGUUUUAUAAGAAAAUAGAAUAUUUUGUUUAAUAUUUUUAUUUUAUUCUAACAAUCAUAAUUUCACUUUAAACGAAUGUUUUAGACAUCCAAAUUUAUUUUUGAUUAUGAAAUAUGUGUUUUUGCACUGUAUACUACAUUAUUAGCUAGUUUCAAAAUUUUCAGGGAAAAAUGACUAAAAUACCCCUGUGAGACGAAAAUUAUUUUUAUUGUUUUAAGUUGGAAAUAAUUUAAAAUCUUUUAGAACAUGAUAUUUGGCAACGAUUACUCACAAGGGAAAUGAGAAGCUGAUAUUAAAGCCUUGCGAGAUUUCGAUUGACAUUUUGAGUAAUGAGUGUCGAUUGAGACAUCGCGACGGUUGUCACAGGCUCGAGGGGAGUUCUGGGUCGUGACAAUUCGAUUGGUAUCAGAGUAUUUGGUUUUAAAGAUCAGAGCUUUUGUUUUAAAGUUGUUUUAAAAAUUUACAGUGUUGGUGUGGUCCCAAGUUAAGUUAAGUUAAGUCAAGUUAAGUUAGGUUAGGUUGAGUAGAACGCAUGCAUCUACAUAUAGAAACCUACCUACUCUUGUGAUGCAUGAAUGAUUAAGUAAUUACUACUUGGUUGCAUAUACGUUUUGAGGUGCACUAGUGACACACACACCAUGUCUAGAAGAGGCGGUAGUGCCGAUACCCCUCAUAGUGUUGUGAGGGAUCAUUAGAUUCCACUGCUAGAAGCCAAUGGUGCUCUGAUCUAGGUAAUUCAGAAAGUGGUCCAUCCCGAAUUCCUAUUAAUAGAAUUCCUCCAAACUUAGCAGAAUUGUCACGACCCGGAACCUCCCCCAGGCCCAUGACAAUCGCCGUGACGUCUUGAUUGACACUUAUUAUCCGGAAUGCCAAUCGGAACCCCACAAGGCUUACAUAUCAGUUUCUUUCCUUUCCUGUAAGCAAUCGUUGUUAAAUAUCGAGUUUUUAGAGAAUAUACACUAUUUUAGAUAAAAAACAAUCAAAAUAAAAUUUUCGCCACACAAGGGUAUUUUGGUCAUUUUUUUCUCAAAAAUUUUGAAACUGGCUAAAACGUAAUAUACAAGUACAAAAUACAUAAUUCAUAUUCAAAAUGAGUUUAAAAGUCUAAAAUCUUCAUUUCAAACGAAAUUACGGUUAUUUGAAUAUAAUAAGAAAAUAAAAGAAAUAUUAAGGGAAAUAUUCUAUUUUCUUAUAAAACAAUAUUUAUAGAGUUAUACGUGAAUAAUUUUUAUAGCGUAAAAGCUAAAUAAAUUUAUAUAUACUGAAAUACAGUAAGCCAAAAUAUUUACUUUAAUUUACAAUAACAAGAGGGCCCCCAAAUAAACAAAAGUAAAGAGGACUGUGAACCUAUGGUUUGGAAAAUGUAGAUCCAAUGGUAGUCCUCGAUGAGAUCAGCUAUCUACAGUCUAUACUGAACCUGAAAUGGGUGGAAAGGAGGGUGGAGAGAUUAUAACAUCCCAAUGAGUAAACAGACAUUAUCAUAAAUAUCUAAAGGCGAGUAAAAUGGAGGCAAGUUUAAACAACAAAUUUCAACCCAUUUCAUAAUAUUUUCAAUUUAUUUCUUAAACCAUAAAAUAUUUGUAAUUUACCAAAACAGUUGUUAAGACUUAUGUCUUUUAUUAAAACAAGGCUCAAGCCAAAACUAAUCCUCGGGGAUACCUUGGCCGAGGCAUCUAACCGAGUCCGCCAAGGGUGUUAAAAUAUUCACACGUGAAACACAUUUUUAUUUUUAAAACCAGCCGUCCCUUGGCGUUGGCCGAGUUACACAUUCACGUGGGGGUUCGACGUGAAGUGAGCUCUAAUACUACCCCGGGAGUUACCCUCCUCGCCUCUACAACCGGAGUAACUAUAUAACUGGGUUUACCGUGCCCCUCUAAUAGGCAGUCCACGGAAACCCGUCACUGCAGUGACUAACCCACCAAUUUUAAUAAAAUUUCGACAGUAUAACGUGGCUUUUAUUUAUUUAUCCAGCCUGCAUAGUAAAACCAACUUACAUAAAUUUCCCAAUGCACUCACAAAAUAUAGCCACAUAUACUCAUUUCUCAUAAGCCAUUCCUAGGAAAAUAUAUAUUUUUCAAGUCAAUUUGCAGCCUCCAAUUACUCAAUUUCAUAAUCAAUACAAUAUAUUUUUAUUUGUCACAUUUAUUCCUAAAACAUCAAAAAUCCCGUUUUAAUCUCGUUCUCAUUUCAUAAAAUACAUAAAGGGCAUUUAAAAUAAACUCUAGAUAAUUUACAAUAAUAAUAAGUUUACUCACCGUUUGUACAAACUAAAAGCUUUCUAAGCGCCCCGAUCACUACUCGUCGGGUACGACUUCUUUGCCUUUUCCGGAAGGCUCUCCUCCUAGACACAUUACAAAAAUUUACACAAUUCAUCACAUUGAUGCUAAAUCACUAUAUAAUUAACUUAAAUCCUAUACUAAUGCAUGGUAUGAAAUGCAAUAGCCUAAAACGGCUUAAACGCGGUAUUAACCUAUUUUUGGCACUUUGCCCGAUAAAUUGCUAACGCGCUCCAUUUUAGCUCUAAAUCAUCCCAUUCUCUCUCCAACAUUUCUAACCAUUAAAUAUCAGCCAAUAACCUUCUAAAAACAACAAAAUCAGCUCACUCCCUUCCUUGGAAAAUUCGGCCAAAAAUGGGACAUUAACUCGGUUAAUUUUCUACUUUGUUUUUCUAUCACGUUUAAUCGUUUUUCAUCAUUUUCUCUUCAUUUCCCUUAGAAUAAAAUCAAUUCAUCAUCAUUGUACAGCAUUGAGCAUCCAGCCAAGAGUGGGUAUUGUGAAAAUUUAAUGAUUUCUUGCCCAAUUUAAUUUCUAAACACAUUUAACUAACUAAAACUAUCAAUUUAACUAAAAAUCAAAACCUAAAAAUUUCAAUUUCUCUCCCCUAGAAUUUCGUCCAGCCCUUGAUAUCACUUUUUGAUCUCUCUCCUCAAGCAUGCUAAAUGGAAAUAAAGGCAUAGGAAAGGUAGAAAUCAAGCUAAAAUCGAAAAAUCUUACCGUUAGACGCGUAAACGGUCGAAAACCGCGAAUUUCCCUUUGAAUUUUCUUGUUUCUCUUUGGUUUUUCUUUUUUUCUUCCUUUCCUCUCUAUUUCCUCUCUUGUUCUUCCUUAUGGCCGGCCAGCACUUAAAAUUUGGGUUUAAAUGGGCUGACUUUUCAUUAAAAUAAUAUUAUAUCAUUAAAAAAUGCCACAUGUCACUUUCCCAUUGGCCCAUUUUUAAAAUUUCAUCCAUUUGUUUCCAAAUUUUCACCAUACACUUGUCUCAUAUAUUCAUAGCUUAGAUAAAAUUCUCAGACUCAUCCAAAGUCUCGGUGGAGUAAUUUUUGAAAUUUACACUUUUGCCCCCGUAAAAGUCAAAAAUUACAUUUUUGCCCCAAAAAUUGAAAAAUUGCCCAUAGACAUAUUUUUCAUCCCUUAUACUCAUACCAUUCUCCAAUUUGUCAAAUUUGAUCUAAAUUCUCUCAAAAUCUCAAAUUUUGUCCGUGGGUGGCAAAAUUACGAUUUUGCCCCUACACUCCAAAAAUCACCAGAAUUAAACUUUUUCACUUCCUAUCAUUAAAUUAUACUCCAAAUAGUUAAUCUUGGUCAAAAAUUUCACUCCAUGAUCAAAUUAUUAUCUUAGGUGGCAAAAUGACGAUUUUGCCCUUGAAUAUCAAAAUUUCUAAUUUUACCCCAAAUGAACCCUCGAACUCCGAACAAUCAUUUUUAGUCAUUCCUGGACUAUAAAAUAUUAAAUUUCAUCCUACAAUUCCUAUUUGAACUAGUUCGAGGUUAAAUCAAUUUAAGUGUACCGUUAGGUACAAUAUCAGGUUUCGUCUAUUCUUAGGUGCUUUUCUAGCGUAAUAACAUGCUACUCAAUGCAUGUAUGUCAUGACAUGUAUUUAUAGGGUCGGGUUUUACAAUUUUACCCCCCUUAAAAUAAAAUUUUGACCUCAAAAUUUCACUUACCAGAUUCGACAAAUAGAUGCGGGUAUUGGUUCCUCAUCUGAUGCUCUACUUCCCAUGUCAUUUCCUCCAUUCGAGCACUUUUCCACAACACUUUGACCAUUGAAAUACUCUUGUUUCUCAGUACUCGAUCCUUUCGAUCCAAGAUACUCACAGGUUGUACCUCGAACUUCAAAUCGUCAUGCAACUCGAUCGGAGGUGCUUCGAGGACGUGAGAGGGAUCUGGUACAUAUUUCUUAAGCAUGGAGACAUGGAAAACGUUGUGGAUCCGAUCUAACUCCGGAGGUAAUUCUAACCGAUAAGCCACUGGUCCAAUCCUUUCAAUGAUUCGGAAUGGUCCAAUAUAUCUCGGGUUGAGCUUUCCCCUCUUCGCAAAUCGAAUCACACCUUUCAUUAUCCAAUAAAACACCAUAAUUUAUCAUGAUAGUAUAAUCAAUAAGAUUUAAUACUUCAAAGUAUUCAAAUUAUUACCUUUCCAAGGAGAAACCUUAAGAAAAACUUUAUCAUCGAUCUCAAACUCCAAGUCUUUUCUCCGUUUAUCUGCAUAGCUCUUCUGCCUAUCCUGGGCUACCUUUAGCCUCUCUCGUAUAACCUUGAUCUUGUCAUUAGUUAGCUCGAUCAAUUCCACACUCACUAACUUCCUUUCACCUACUUCAUCCCAACAGAGUGGAGUACGACAUUUUCUUCCAUAUAAAGCUUCGUACGGUGCCAUACCAAUGCUAGACUGAAAGCUAUUGUUGUAAGCAAAUUCCACCAAUGGCAAAUGUCUGUCCCAACUCCCAAUAAAGUCAAUGACACAAGCCCGUAACAUAUCCUCCAAGGUCUGGAUAGUCCUCUCUGACUGACCAUCCGUCUGUGGGUGAAAAGCAGUGCUAAAUUUCAAUUUGGUUCCGAGAGCUUCUUGAAAUUUUGGCCAGAAUCGAGAAGUGAAUCGAGGAUCUCGGUCUGACACUAUAGAAACGGGAACUCCAUGUAGCCUCACAAUCUCAUCUAUAUAGAGCUGAGCCAGCUUCUCAAUAGAGUAUGUACUAUGGACAGCUAAAAAGUGAGCGGACUUAGUCAACCGAUCUACGAUCACCCAGAUCGCAUCCUUUCCCCUCUGUGUCCGCGGCAAUCCCAAAACAAAAUCCAUAGUUACAUGCUCCCAUUUCCACUCGGGAACAGGUAAAGACUGAAGUGUACCUGCUGGCCUCUGAUGCUCCGCCUUAACUUGCUGACAUACGAGACACUUUGCUACGAAUUCUGCUACGUCUCGCUUCAUACCCGGCCACCAAUAAUUCUCCCUGAUAGUCCUAUACAUCUUGGUGCUUCCGGGAUGUAAUGCAUAGGCAGAUGAAUGGGCUUCUUCCAUGAUCGCCUGUCUCAACUGGUUUCCCUCAGGAACACAAACUCGAUCUUUAAACAUCAAGACGUUAUCCUCUCCAAAUCUGAACUCACUAACUCCCCCAUCGGUCAGUUUUUGAAUUUCUUUUCUUAACUCAUCAUCAGACCUCUGAAUGUCCUUGAUCUGAUUAAGUAACGAAGGUCGCACAAUGAAGUUUGCCAAUAAGGAUCCAUCCUCACCAUUUCUCAACUGGACCCCAAGAGAUUUCAUCUCUAUUAAUGCUGGAAAAUAACAACUCUGAAGUGCUGCUAAAGACGAUGAAGACUUACGACUUAAGGCAUCAGCUACAACGUUCGCCUUUCCCGGAUGAUAGUCUAUCACCAAGUCAUAAUCUUUUAUCAACUCCAACCAUCGCCUUUGCCUCAAAUUAAGCUCCUUUUGGGUGAGCAAAUAUUUUAAACUCUUGUGAUCCGUAAAUAUCCGACAAUGCUCACCAUACAAGUAAUGCCUCCAGAUUUUUAAAGCAAACACCACUGCUGCUAACUCUAAAUCAUGGGUAGGGUAAUUUGCUUCAUGCCUCUUUAGCUGUCUAGAAGCAUAAGCCACAACUUUUUCAUCCUGCAUCAAUACGCACCCCAACCCCAACUUUGAGGCAUCACUAUAUACUACAAAUCCCUUACCAUUAACAGGAAGUGUUAAAACGGGAGCGGAGGUUAACCGGUUCUUUAGCUCCUGAAAUCGAUUCUCACAAACAUCAUCCCACACAAACUUAACUCCCUUACGAGUUAGACGGGUCAAAGGAGCUGCUAUUAAGGAAAACCCCUGAACAAACCUCCGAUAAUAACCGGCUAAUCCGAGGAAACUACGAAUCUCCGUCACUGUCUUAGGUUGCUCCCAUUGUAAAAUUGCCUCUACUUUCUUAGGAUCAACAUAUAUUCCAGUUCUCGAUACUACGUGUCCCAAGAAUACCACUUCCUGUAACCAAAACUCACACUUCGAAAACUUUGCAUACAACUGUCUUUCCCUCAAAGUUUGUAAUACUAUACGCAAGUGGGCAGCGUGCUCAUCAUUAUCUCUCGAGUAAACCAGUAUGUCAUCAAUGAACACAAUAACAAACUUGUCCAAGUAAGGGUGGAACACCCUAUUCAUGAGAUCCAUAAAAGCUGCCGGUGCGUUAGUUAACCCGAAAGGCAUGACCAAGAACUCAUAAUGACCGUACCGAGUCCUGAACGCUGUCUUGGGUACAUCCUGUUCUUUAAUCCUCAACUGAUGAUACCCAGACCUUAGAUCAACCUUGGAAAACACUGUAGCUCCCUGUAAUUGAUCGAAAAGAUCAUCAAUCCUCGGUAACGGAUACUUGUUCUUAAUGGUCAUUCUGUUAAGCUGUCGGUAAUCGAUACAUAACCGAAGUGUACCGUCUUUCUUUUUCACAAAUAAAACCGGUGCUCCCCAUGGAGAUAUACUAGGGCGUAUAAAACCCUUGUCCACCAACUCUUGCAAUUGUACUUUCAACUCCUUCAACUCUGCCGGAGCCAUUCUAUAUGGAGGGAUAGAAAUAGGUGCGGUACCCGGAAGUAAAUCAAUAGGGAACUCAAGCUCUCGAUCAGGAGGCAGUCCCGGUAAAUCAUCAGGAAAUACAUCAGGAAACUCACUUACUAUCGGGACAUCCUCUAACUUAAGUUCCCCCUUUGAAGUAUCAAUCACAUAUGCCAAAUAAGUCGGAUACCCUUUCUGUACUAAUUUCGAAGCUUUGAUGGCCGAGAUUACACAGGACGGUAAUACUCGACGUUUUCCUACAAACAAAAUCUCUGCUCCCUCAGAAUUUCGAAGAACAACUUCCUUUCGAAAACAAUCCAUGUUUGCCCGAUGUGCAGUUAACCAGUCCAUACCCAAUAUUAGAUCAAAAUCCUGGAUCUCUAGAGGAAUUAAGUCACCACUAAAUUCUUCCUCGCCUACCCUUACCCCACAGUCUCUAUAACAACUCUUUCUAACUAGCUUUUCUCCUAAAGGGAUGUGAAUUACAAUUUCUUCCUCUAAUGGUGACAGGUUUCUAUCAGCAAUUGAUGCAAAUGUGGUGCUCACAUAAGACCUAUCUAAGCUAGAAUCUAUCAAAACAUAAACAUCUUUAUCAAAUAAAGACAUAGUACCUGUCACUGCUCCAGGUCGAACCCGUGCCUCAUCUUUCGUCACAGCGAAAACUCUUGUCGAGGUACGAGUCUGUGGUCUCGAAGGUGGAUGUGCCGGGGUAUUACUCUCCACACCGAACCGUAUGGCCACUCCCUGUCUCGAUGGCAACCCAGAAGAAUCUCUCCUCUGCAUAUUAGUGUAAGUUGGUGAAGAUGAUGCAACUAUCGUGGCUCGUCGUAACCGUGGGCAAUUACUCCUAAUAUGACCCAUCUGUCCACAUUGGAAACAUCUUGUUGGCCCUUUACAUAGCCCACUAUGAUAAUUCCCACAAUUUUUGCAUCGGUCAGAACCUCCGAAACUCUUCCACGAAUCAGUCAUAGCAGAUAUGCUAAACCUCAAAGGUCUCUGUUGUGAUGGUGGAAAUGGAGGUCGAGGAGAUGUCACGGAAACAGAAGUAGUACUCCUUGAAAUCGCUAAGUCCUUGCCUCUUUUUACUGGCUGACUAGAAGACAUACCAAGAUUCCUCCUUUUUGCAAACUCAGUCCGAAUCCCCCUAUUCUCAAUCGCAAGCUUCUCAGCCCGUAAAGCCAUCUGUACCACCUCCUUAUGUGGCUCCCUACCAGUCACUGUCAUCCGCUCUCUAAUCUCAUUACGGAGCCCUUCCUCGAAAUAACUAGCCUGAUCCUGCUCAGAUUUCACCAAAUCCGGCACAUAUAACAUCAACUCGUUAAAACGAGUCUCGUACUCCUCUACAGUUAAAUUUCCUAUUUCAAACUCAAAAAUUCUCUCUUCUUUUCUUUCUGAUGAAAAUAAGUGAAAUACUGACCAUCGAAUUCCUUGAGAAAAUCGGACCACAUUUGAGGAGUAGUGGAAUGGGACUUCAUUGAAUUCUACCAAGUACGAGCCCUCUUCUCUAAUAAUCUCGUAGCCAUCAUCAGCUUCAUGUAGUCGUCUAAUCUCAUAUCAGAGAGAGUCUUUGAAACCUGAUUAAUCUAGUCCUUUGCCACAGUGGCAUCCAACUCACCCGUGAAAGACACACAACCGAGCUGUCUAGCCUCUUUUAGCUUCUUGGAAAUGGAUACAUCUUGUACCGGUGGUGGAACUAAAGGAGUAACUGGUGGUACUAUAGGUGGAACUUGACCAGUCGGAGCUCCACUAGCCAUUGCGGUAAAGAAAGUUGCCAAUGCCUGUGCUGCCUCAAUAGGCAUGGUGGGAAUACUCGUAGGUGGCGGAGGAGGUGGAGGAUGUGGAGGACUAUCGGCCUGCUCAGCAGCAGGUGCUGCCCGUAUGGUAGACGCAGCCGAUUCUUCCACUACUGCAUCUAGCUGACGACAUUGGGAACGAACUUUUUCCCUCCCAACAGAUCUAGUGAGAGGUGGGCGUCCUCGUCUAGGAGGCAUAAUAAUCUAUAAGAGAAAACGAGCAAGCUUAGGGAACCUUAGGCUCUAUAUGAAAAUGCAUGCAUUCUAUUCAACCUAACCUAACUUAAUUCGGGGCCACACUGAUACUGUAGAUUUUUAAAACCACUUUAAAAUCAAAAACUCUUAUCUUUAAAACCAAAAGCUCUGAUACCAAUAGAAUUGUCACGACCUGGAACCUCCCUCAAGCCCAUGACAAUCGUCGCGACGUCCCGAUUGACACUCAUUAUCCGGAAUGCCAACCAGAACCCCGCAAGGCUUACAUAUCAGUUUCUUUCCUUUCCUGUGAGCAAUCGUUGUUAAAUAUCGAGUUUUUAGAGAAUAUACACUAUUUUAGAUAAAAAACAAUCAAAAUAAAAUUUUCGCCACACAGGGGUAUUUUGGUUAUUUUUUUCUCAAAAAUUUCGAAACUGGCUAAAACAUAAUAUACAAGUACAAAAUACAUAAUUCAUAUUCAAAAUGAGUUUAAAAGUCUAAAAUCUUCAUUUCAAACGAAAUUACAGUUAUUUGAAUAUAAUAAGAAAAUAAAAGAAAUAUUAAGGAAAAUAUUCUAUUUUCUUAUAAAACAAUAUUUAUAGAGUUAUACGUGAAUAAUUUUUAUAGCGUAAAAGCUAAAUAAAUUUAUACAUACUGAAAUACAGUAAGCCAAAAUAUUUAAUUUAAUUUACAAUAACAAGAGGGCCCCCGAAUAAACAAAAGUAAAGAGGACUGUGAACCUACGGUUUGGAAAAUGCAGAUCCAAUGGUAGUCCUCGAUGAGAUCAGCUAUCUACAGUCUAUACUGAACCUGAAAUGGGUGGAAAGGAGUUGGGUGAGAUUUUGCAAUCCCAAUGAGUAAACAGACAUUAUCAUAAAUAUCUAAAGGCGAGUAAAAUGGAGGCAAGUUUAAACAACAAAUUUCAACCCAUUUCAUAAUGUUUUCAAUUUAUUUCUUAAACCAUAAAAUAUUUGUAAUUUACCAAAACAGUUGUUAAGGCUUAUGUCUUUUAUUAAAACAAGGCUCAAGCCAAAACUAAUCCUCGGGGAUACCUUGGCCGAGGCAUCUAACCGAGUCCGCCAAGGGUGUUAAAAUAUUCACACGUGAAACACAUUUUUAUUUUUAAAACCAGCCGUUCCUUGGCGUUGGCCGAGUUACACAUUCACGUGGGGGUUCGACGUGAAGUGAGCUCUAAUACUACCCCAGGAGUUACCCUCCUCGCCUCUACAACCGGAGUAACUAUAUAACUGGGUUUACCGUGCCCCUCUAAUAGGCAGUCCACGGAAACCCGUCACUGCAGUGACUAACCCACCAAUUUUAAUAAAAUUUCGACAGUAUAACGUGGCUUUUAUUUAUUUAUCCAGCCUGCAUAGUAAAACAACUUACAUAAAUUUCCCAAUGCAUUCACAAAAUAUAGCCACAUAUACUCAUUUCUCAUAAGCCAUUCCUAGGAAAAUAUAUAUUUUUCAAGUCAAUUUGUAGCCUCCAAUUACUCAAUUUCAUAAUCAAUACAAUAUAUUUUUAUUUGUCACAUUUAUUCCUAAAACAUCAAAAAUCCCGUUUUAAUCUCGUUUUCAUUUCAUAAAAUACAUAAAGGGCAUUUAAAAAUAAACUCUAGAUAAUUUACAAUAAUAAUAAGUUUACUCACCGUUUGUACAAACUAAAAGCUUUCUAAGCGCCCCGAUCACUACUCGUCGGGUACGACUUCUUUGCCUUUUCCGGAAGGCUCUCCUCCUAGACACAUUACAAAAAUUUACACAAUUCAUCACAUUGAUGCUAAAUCACUAUAUAAUUAACUUAAAUCCUAUACUAAUGCAUGGUAUGAAAUGCAAUAGCCUAAAACGGCUUAAACGCGGUAUUAACCUAUUUUUGGCACUUUGCCCGAUAAAUUGCUAACGCGCUCCAUUUUAGCUCUAAAUCAUCCCAUUCUCUCUCCAACAUUUCUAACCAUUAAAUAUCAGCCAAUAACCUUCUAAAAACAACAAAAUCAGCUCACUCCCUUCCUUGGAAAAUUCGGCCAAAAAUGGGACAUUAACUCGGUUAAUUUUCUACUUUGUUUUUCUAUCACGUUUAAUCGUUUUUCAUCAUUUUCUCUUCAUUUUCCUUAGAAUAAAAUCAAUUCAUCAUCAUUGUACAGCAUUGAGCAUCCAGCCAAGAGUGGGUAUUGUGAAAAUUUAAUGAUUUCUUGCCCAAUUUAAUUUCUAAACACAUUUAACUAACUAAAACUAUCAAUUUAACUAAAAAUCAAAACCUAAAAAUUUCAAUUUCUCUCCCCUAGAAUUUCGUCCAGCCCUUGAUAUCACUUUUUGAUCUCUCUCCUCAAGCAUGCUAAAUGGAAAUAAAGGCAUAGGAAAGGUAGAAAUCAAGCUAAAAUCGAAAAAUCUUACCGUUAGACGCGUAAACGGUCGAAAACCGCGAAUUUCCCUUUGAAUUUUCUUGUUUCUCUUUGGUUUUUCUUUUUUUCUUCCUUUCCUCUCUAUUUCCUCUCUUUUUCUUCCUUAUGGCCGGCCAGCACUCAAAAUUUGGGUUUAAAUGGCUGACUUUUCAUUAAAAUAAUAUUAUUUCAUUAAAAAAUGCCACGUGUCACUUUCCCAUUGGCCCAUUUUUAAAAUUUCAUCCAUUUGUUUCCAAAUUUUCACCAUACACUUGUCUCAUAUAUUCAUAGCUUAGAUAAAAUUCUCAGACUCAUCCAAAGUCUCGGUGGAGUAAUUUUUGAAAUUUACACUUUUGCCCCCGUAAAAGUCAAAAAUUACAUUUUUGCCCCAAAAAUUGAAAAAUUGCCCAUAGACAUAUUUUUCAUCCCUUAUACUCAUACCAUUCUCCAAUUUGUCAAAUUUGAUCUAAAUUCUCUCAAAAUCUCAAAUUUUGUCCGUGGGUGGCAAAAUUACGAUUUUGCCCCUACACUCCAAAAAUCACCAGAAUUAAACUUUUUCACUUCCUAUCAUUAAAUUAUACUCCAAAUAGUUAAUCUUGGUCAAAAAUUUCACUCCAUGAUCAAAUUAUUAUCUUAGGUGGCAAAAUGACGAUUUUGCCCUUGAACAUCAAAAUUUCUAAUUUUACCCCAAAUGAACCCUCGAACUCCGAACAAUCAUUUUUAGUCAUUCCUUGACUAUAAAAUAUUAAAUUUCAUCCUACAAUUCCUAUUUGAACUAGUUCGAGGUUAAAUCAACUCAAGUGUACCAUUUGGUACAAUACCGAGUUUCGUCUAUUCUUAGGUGCAUUUCCUAGCAUAAUAACAUGCUACUCAGUGCAUGUAUGUCAUGACAUGUGUUUGAAACAAUCUGAAGAGUACCAUAGAGAAUGGACGAGGGAGGAAAUUGCAAAGGGACAUAUUUGUUUUAGGAAGAGCGUGUCAGUUGUUUGACACCAUCCUCCGGGCUGUGGGUUGAAUGUAAAUGAACAACAAGAAAAUAAUAAGGAGAAAGUAACUGUUGCAAAUUAUCCCCUUAGGAAGGUGAACGUUGUACGACAUUUUUCUCCCAGUUGUGGAAGAAAUGCUGCAUUGAUGAGUUAUGAGGAAUGUAGGAGAAUACAACAAGCCUGGAUUGAGGAGCAAAGGAGAAAAUCACAGGAGGAGGAGAACCCGGAAGAGGAUCUUAAGAAGGACUUGGAGUAGAAUCUUCCAAUAAGAUCAGAGUAAGAUGAUGAUCCCAAUGACAUGUAAUAUUUUCGUAGGAUUUUGUACUAAUUGAACUCUAGGUAGAUGUAGUGUAAAAGAGAUAAUAGUUAUCUGUACAAAGAAGUUAAUAGUUUGGCUUUUAAAGUGUAUGACUAGAAUGGAUUAUAAAGUAGCUAUUUAAAUGACUGAAUGUGUAAGGGAAUUUUUUUUGUAUGACAGAGAUAAAUUGGUAAUAUAAUUAUUGAGGAAGGGUAUAGGAGGAAGCAAUAAGGUUAUAAAUGACAUUCAGAAUGGAUAACGUGAUUAAGUUGAUGAUUGUAAUUUAAGCAUGAAGGGGAUUACUCAGUGAUGCCAUGAUAUUAUGAGGUAAUAAUUGGGCACAAAUAUAGCCCAAUGAAGUUAAAUUAUGGAAUAUGGGGAAUAUGAAAUUUUGAUUUAGUAAGGAUUGUGAGAACAAAGUGAUGAGGAAGCUGAGCUGUUUUCGUAGUUAAUUAUUUCGAAAGUCAAUAAAAUUAUUAGAGUACAAGACAAGGAAGAUAAUUGGAUAGGGAUGACAAUAAAUUUGAGGAAAGUUGUAGACAGUAAGCAACUUAUGUGUGAGGUGGUAUAUGUGUUAUGAAUUUAUUACACCGUAUGAAAAAGAUGUUUUAAGGUGGGAUUUUAUGAAUGAUGAUGAAAGUCAAAAGAUGACAUGAGUUGAAAGUAUUAACUUGGCUUAGUGUGUAUGAUAAGAAAAUAGAAGGUACCUAUGCUUAUGGAACUCAUGAUAUAUGUCUAGAAGGGAAACCCACUAGUUGAGAAUGAUUGAUGUGGUGACUUUAAAUGCAGACAAAUAGCUUUGAUGAGGAAAUUUCUAAUAGUUACAGCACCGCAACACUGAUUGUCCAACGUUGCAAUGCUCUAAAUACCUCACGCCUAUGAUGCACGAGUAUGAUGGGAGUGGCACAAUAAUGAGCUUACAAAUUGAAUUUUGGCUAUUGGUUAUUGAGCUUUGUUAUUUGGGAGUUUUAAAUAUUCUGGAGAAUGUCUACCUGAAUAAAUUGAAAAGCUUCUUUAUUGCUUCGUGUAUGAGCAUAUAAAAAAAAAUUUAAGAAUUUUGAGAUGGCUACCUUGAGAUAAGAUACCAAGUGAUGAAAGUGUGAAUGAAGAAUUACAAGACUAGUAUAGAAAACCAGUUUAUAUAGAGUAUCAUUACGAGAAUUUAAAAUUUCUGUCUUGAUUCAGUUAAGCGACAAGGGUUAGUAACAACAUGAGGCCAAUUGUGUGGCACCCUAGAAACCUAUGAAGAUGAGUUAGGGAUUGAAUGGAUGAGUACGUAUUUAUAUACCUUUAAGAUUAAGUGUUUUAGGAAUGCAUAAACAUCUUUGAGAAGAAAUUUCUAAUCAUACACGGCAAGUAUGAAAUGUGAGAUUUUUAAAACUUGUUGAAGAGCCUAACGGCUAAGUCACAAGUUAAGUGAUCAUAUGCUGUGAGACAUAAGUCUAAGAUAGAUAUUCCCAAGGAAAUACUCAAGAAGAGUUUUGCUACAGAUUUUGUGGAAGCUAGCAUUAAAUUAUGUGGUUGUAAAGAGGAAGCCGUAAGUUGGAAGUGAAAUUCGUAUUGACAUUAAAAAAUACUUAGAAGAAUCUUAUUUCAAGUCUUACAGUUUUAAAUACAAACUGCAGCUUGGUUUAGGGAGAAUGAUAUCACAUUAGUAUGGAAGAACAAAACAAAGGGUGAAUGAAGAUAAUUUGGAUAAUGAAGCCUGAUAAUGAAAGUUUCCUAAGGCAGUAUGGAAAUUGGAAUUUGAAAAUGCUUAGGCAUGCAUGAUUCGAAUCAGUCUAAGUUUUUAAGUGACAUCUAGCAAGUGAGAUGUGAUUAAUGACAUUGUGAUGUGAGGAUAUAGCAUGAUGAAACUCAAGCAUAUGAUUGGAAAUGAUAUAAAUAAUAUAUCAGUUUUGAUAUAUAAGGAAUUGGGGAAAAGUUUAUAGCUUAUAGGUGAAUACGUGCAAUCGAAUUCAUGUAAUCAAAGGUGUGAAAAUCUGCCUUGAUUGGCAUAAGCCCAUGACUCAAAAUGAUUGAUUAUGGAUUUAAUCUUCUAAGGAAAAAUGGACUAAAGGAAGUUGAUAUCAGAAAAAUCUUAAUAAAUGAUACUUUGAUUUUAAAGUGUACGUGAGGGGAGAUAAAUGUUUAUUUUCAUUUCCAGAUUGAUAAACUAAUGAGGCCAUGAGAUCUAGUGUCUGGAUGUAAAUUUGAGGAAUCACAAGUUGAAUAUGUUUGUAUGUGACGUAUAACUAACCAGUUGAUUAUGACCUAGGAAUUUUAAGGAUUGAUUAAGUCCAUAAGGAUACAUCUAAAAGUAUGUUUAUUAUUUAAAUGUAUUGUGGUAAUAGUUGAGAUCUACUUAAUAAGUACUUGAUCAUAAAAAUACGAGAGUUUCUUUUUGAGAAUAUGGUUACUAAUGGUUAUCAAAUUUGAAUUAUUUGUGAUGUUAAAUAUAUAUAUAUAUGGAUAAAUAAAAGGUGUUUGAUCCUUAUGUAUUAUGAAAUGCUUGAAUGUUAGAAGGUUUGAUAAAAGAUCAAGAUAGAGAAAUUGUGGAUAGUUAAGUAAACAUGCAUGAUUGGUGAUUUGACUUAGAUGUAACCCGUACGUAUUUUAGAUCAAAAGGAUCGAGUGUCGAGGAAUAAAAACAUCCCAAUGGUUAAAGGCAUUCCCUUCGGGGGGAGCAAAAGGUCUCAGGUUCGAAGCUUAGUUAAAAGGUCCUGUAGGGCCUGUCGUGCCACCCUUAGGCAUGGCGAAUACGAGUAAGUCAAGUGAUGGGGACCCGAAUAUAACAAUACCUUGGAGUGGGCCCUCGAGGGGGAUGCCACAGAAUGCUUGAAUGGAAGAAAUGACGUGGGAAGUCGAGCACCAGAUAAGAAACCAAUAUUCACAUCUUUUCUUGGAAUCUGGUAAGUGAAAUUUUGAGGUCAAAAUUUUAUUUUAAGGGGGGUGGUUGUGAGACCUUGUCAAGCUCGAUUAAAAGACGAUAUUGUACCGAGUGGUACAACUAAGUUAAAUCGAGCCUUGAACUAGUUCAAAUAGAAAUUCUAAGAGGAAUUUGAAAAUUUUAAAACCCACAAAAUGGUUUAGAAUAGUAAUUCGGAGUUCAAGGUCCAGUCUAGAGUCCAUCAGGAAAAUUGACCGAUUAGGGAUAAAACGGUUAUUUUACCAUUUGAUGAUUAAAUGGAGAUUUCUAGCCAAGAUUUGAUCACAUUUGACCAAGAAUAAUUAUAUGAGAUAUAAUUAUGAUUAUUGGAGUAUAAAAUGAUGUUUAGCAGUGAAAAAUUAUGAUUCUCGGUAUUUUUGGAGCACAAGGGUAAAACGGUAAUUUUCCCACUAGAGGACUAAACAACAAUUUUUAUAGAACAAUUUUUGCCCCAUUUGGUUAAUAUUGAUCAAUAUUAGUGUUAUUUGAGGUUGAAAAGUAGAAAUAAUGUGAUUCCGAUACAUUUCGGAGUAUAGGGGCAAAAUCAUAAUUUUUUCACCCCGGGGGCAAAUCGGUAAAUAUUUCACCCCAGCACUUGUCAAGAUCAAGGGAUUUUAAUUGUGGUAGGAUUGGAUAAGUACCAGAAUAUUUGUGGUGGAAAAUUAAGAAGAAAAAGUCAAAAAGUUAAAAAAUUGGGCCAAUAAGCAUGUGACAUGUGGCAUGCUUGAUUAUUUUAUUAUUUUCUAUAGAAAUAAGCCCAUUAAAUCCCCAAUUCUCUCACCAUAUUCUGCCUAGGCAACCAGCAACAAGAACAAAGGAAGAACAAAGGAAGAACAAAGGGAAAAACAAGAAAACCUAGGUGGAAAUUCAAAGAAAAAGUGAAGAAAUCAAGGAAACAAGCUAGGUAAGUUAAAAUUUCUUUAAUUCUCCUUGAUACCUAGCUUACCCAUGCUUUUGUUCUUGAUUUCCAUGGUUGAAUAUUGAGUUAUCAUGAUGAAUUCAAUUCUGAAAAAUGGGUAUGGAAGAGGAAUUGUUGUUGGAAUAAUUUGAUUUUAGACUAUGUUAGUGUUUAGGGAUAGUUAAGCAUGGUUAUGAACAAAAACACAAAAGAAAUAUUCAAUUUCUCUAGGGUUCCUUGUUGGUCGAACCAUGAGGGCUGAAUAUCAAUGGGGGAUUGUUUUUAUUUCAAGGAAAAUGGCUUGGAAAUAUGAUGAAUUAAGGUGAAACGGUUAUGCAGAAAAAUUUUGGUGCUAGUGCACCAAAUGACCGAAUUUUUCUAUAAGGAACUGUGAGGGUUCUAAUGCUGAAUUUGGCUUUAUUUAAAUGGUAUGUGGUAAAUUAAGGUAUUAGAGGAGAAAUGGAUUAAUUUGGAGUGAAAUUGGACGCAUUGGCCAAUUUAUCGGAUGAAAAAUCGACUUAGGCCAAUACCGGGUCUAGAUGGCUACCCGUGCAUUUUUCAUUUCAUAUCAUAUAUAUAUCGAGCCUGAAAUAGCUUAUGACUGUUAGACACAAUUUAAUUGGAAUAUGUGUCAUGGAUUAUGGCUAGGUGGUGAGCCAUUGCAUACGGGUAAAGGACUGUACCCGCGGACUGAAAAUAGGAGUAUUUCUACUCCUAAUACCGGUGAGUGGACUUGCAUUUCAAACUUGUUUUGGGGAAUAUGAAAGAUUCUAUCCAACUUGUCUUAGAAAAUGUACCUUGGGAACAAGCUUUUAGUAAAAUGAUUUUAUAUUGUGAAAAUGUGCUAUACAAUGGUUUAUGUGUUAUCACAAUAUGAUAAAAUGCAUGAUAUGCAUUGGAUGCUUCUUUGCAUGUUGAUUUGAACCCGGCUAUGUGCGAGUAGGAGUGCACAUAAGCCGUUGCUGACCCGGCUAUGUGCGAGUGGGAGUGCACAUAAGCCGUUGCUGACCCGGCUAUAUGCGCAUAAGCCGUUGCAUAUGAGAUGAUGAUGAUGGGAUGGUGUGCAUGAUGAUGAUGAUGGGAUGGUGUGCAUGUUGAUGAUGGGUAUAUGGUUGUAAAUGCAAAUAUGUAAGCAUUUGUUUUGUUGAAAUUUGGAAGUUUACAUGUGUUACAUGUUGCUAUUGUUAUUUUAGCAGGAUGACUUGUUUUAAGGGAAAAAGGAGACUUUUUCCUUGAUGUUCUGGUUCUCGCUGCAGCGAGAAUGAAGUUCGCUACAGCGAGAAACUUUC